rnacentral:rRNA from 1 species
AACGUACGCUGGCGGCACGCCUUAUACAUGCAAGUCGAACGAAGUAGCAAUACUUAGUGGCAGACGGGUGAGUAACAUGUGGGUAUCUUCCCUUUGGUGAGGAAUAACACGAGGAAACUUGUGCUAAUACCUCAUAAGUCUUUACGGAGAAGCUUUAUGCGCCAAUGGAUGAGCCUGCACUUGAUUAGUUAGUUGGUGGGUAAGGACCUACCAAGACGUUUGUAUCAAUAGCUGAUUUGAGAGGAUGAUCAGCCACAUUGGGACUGAGACACGGCCCAAACUCCUA